UACGUAGGGUGCGAGCGUUAAUCGGAAUUACUGGGCGUAAAGCGUGCGCAGGCGGUUCGUUGUGUCCGAUGUGAAAGCCCCGAGCUCAACUUGGGAAUGGCAUUGGAAACUGGCGGGCUGGAGUGUGGCAGAGGGGGGUGGAAUUCCACGUGUAGCAGUGAAAUGCGUAGAGAUGUGGAGGAACACCGAUGGCGAAGGCAGCCCCCUGGGCCAACACUGACGCUCAUGCACGAAAGCGUGGGGAGCAAACAGG
rnacentral:rRNA from 1 species